rnacentral:rRNA from 1 species
AUAAACGCUGGCGGCGCACAUAAGACCUGCAAGUUGCACGGACUUAAUCGAAAUAUUUAUAUUUUGAAGCGGUUAGUGGCGGACUGGUGAGUAACGCGUAAGGAACCUGCCUAUUAGAGGGGAAUAACAGUGAGAAAUCAUUGCUAAUACCGCAUAUGCCAUAGAUAUCACAUGAUAACAGUGGGAAAGGAGCAAUCCGCUAAUAGAUGGCCUUGCGUCUGAUUAGUUAGUUGGUGGGGUAACGGCCUACCAAGUCGACGAUCAGUAGCCGGACUGAGAGGUUGAACGGCCACAUUGGGACUGAGAUACGGCCCAGACUCCUACGGGAGGCAGCAGUCGGGAAUAUUGCGCAAUGGAGGAAACUCUGACGCAGUGACGCCGCGUAUAGGAAGAAGGUUUUCGGAUUGUAAACUAUUGUCGUUAGGGAAGAGAAAGGACAGUACCUAAGGAGGAAGCACCGGCUAACUACGUG